CCUAAAGAGUAACGGAGGAGUUUAUUAAGGUUAGCUAGGCGCGAAUGGAAACCGUGCCGAUAGUGUAAUGGCACAAGCUAGCUUAACUGUAAGACGUACAUGUCGAGCAGAUACGAAAGUAGAACAUAGUGAACCGACAUUUCGCAUUAGAUGCGGAUGAAGAUUAACGGAUAAAAGCUACUCUAGGGAUAACAGGCUAGUUCCGCCUAAGAGUUCAUAUCGACGGCGGAGUUCGGCACCUCGAUGUCGGCUCACCUUAUCCUGGUGGUGGAGAAGCUGCCAAGGGUUUAGCUGUUCGCUAAUUAAAAAGGUACGCGAGCUGGGUUCAAACCGUUAAGAUCAUAAACGAUUGUGAUUUUAACAGUUUGAACCGUCGAGGAAAGUAAAGAAAUCUCGUAUAUUUCUUUCAAUGUUUUAAUCUGAGAUUAAGACCGCUAUACACAGUUGUGUAUAUCACGGCGGCCCCGCCAAUAAAACGACGGGGAGAAUUUCACUUAUAUCGGUGAAGUCCUACUUUUAUAAAAGAGGAUAAUACCGAGGGAAGCGUAAGCACCCGUAGAGACUAAAUGUGAAAUAUUUUUUGAGAAAUCAAAAGAGAAAGUUAUAGUCCAAUCCCACAAGUAAUUGUGGUUCCCAUUUUUGUAUUUAAACGCGCAAAAAUGAAGAGACUAAAUCAUUUUUAGUAAAAAAUGAUCGUCCGAACUUUUGUUUACAAAAGUUUUAGGAAGUAAAAUAUAGAUGCGUGAGACAGGUUGGUCUCCUAUCUACUGCAGGCGUUGAUUCUUGAGAAGAUCUGCUCUUAGUACGAGAGGACCGGAGUGGACUGACCUCUGGUGUGUGGGCUCUACUGCCAAGUGGACUGCCCAGUAGCUAUGUCGGGAAUGGAUAAGUUCUGAAAGCAUCUAAGAACGAAGCCAACUUCAAGAUGAGGAAUCGUUUGAGAAACCUAAGAGAUGAUUAGGUUGAUAGGCACUAGGUGUACAGACAGUAAUGUCUUUAGCCGAGGUGUACUAAUCGUUCGAU
rnacentral:rRNA from 1 species